UACAGGCUUAACACAUGCAAGUCGAGGGGCAGCAUUUUAGUUUGCUUGCAAACUGAAGAUGGCGACCGGCGCACGGGUGAGUAGCACGUAUCCAACCUGCCGAUAACUCCGGAAUAGCCUUUCGAAAGAAAGAUUAAUACCGGAUGGCAUACGAAUAUCGCAUGAUAUUUUUAUUAAAGAAUUUCGGUUAUCGAUGGGGAUGCGUUCCAUUAGUUUGUUGGCGGGGUAACGGCCCACCAAGACUACGAUGGAUAGGGGUUCUGAGAGGAAGGUCCCCCACAUUGGAACUGAGACACGGUCCAAACUCCUACGGGAGGCAGCAGUGAGGAAUAUUGGUCAAUGGGCGCGAGCCUGAACCAGCCAAGUAGCGUGAAGGAUGAAGGCUCUAUGGGUCGUAAACUUCUUUUAUAUGGGAAUAAAGUUUUCCACGUGUGGAAUUUUGUAUGUACCAUAUGAAUAAGGAUCGGCUAACUCCGUGCCAGCAGCCGCGGUAAUACGGAGGAUCCGAGCGUUAUCCGGAUUUAUUGGGUUUAAAGGGAGCGUAGGUGGAUUGUUAAGUCAGUUGUGAAAGUUUGCGGCUCAACCGUAAAAUUGCAGUUGAAACUGGCAGUCUUGAGUACAGUAGAGGUGGGCGGAAUUCGUGGUGUAGCGGUGAAAUGCUUAGAUAUCACGAAGAACUCCGAUUGCGAAGGCAGCUCACUAGACUGUCACUGACACUGAUGCUCGAAAGUGUGGGUAUCAAACAGGAUUAGAUACCCUGGUAGUCCACACAGUAAACGAUGAAUACUCGCUGUUUGCGAUAUACAGUAAGCGGCCAAGCGAAAGCAUUAAGUAUUCCACCUGGGGAGUACGCCGGCAACGGUGAAACUCAAAGGAAUUGACGGGGGCCCGCACAAGCGGAGGAACAUGUGGUUUAAUUCGAUGAUACGCGAGGAACCUUACCCGGGCUUAAAUUGCAACAGAAUAUAUUGGAAACAGUAUAGCCGUAAGGCUGUUGUGAAGGUGCUGCAUGGUUGUCGUCAGCUCGUGCCGUGAGGUGUCGGCUUAAGUGCCAUAACGAGCGCAACCCUUAUCUUUAGUUACUAACAGGUCAUGCUGAGGACUCUAGAGAGACUGCCGUCGUAAGAUGUGAGGAAGGUGGGGAUGACGUCAAAUCAGCACGGCCCUUACGUCCGGGGCUACACACGUGUUACAAUGGGGGGUACAGAAGGCGGCUACCUGGUGACAGGAUGCUAAUCCCAAAAACCUCUCUCAGUUCGGAUCGAAGUCUGCAACCCGACUUCGUGAAGCUGGAUUCGCUAGUAAUCGCGCAUCAGCCAUGGCGCGGUGAAUACGUUCCCGGGCCUUGUACACACCGCCCGUCAAGCCAUGAAAGCCGGGGGUACCUGAAGUACGUAACCGCAAGGAGCGUCCUAGGGUAAAACUGGUAAUUGGGGCUAAGA
rnacentral:rRNA from 1 species